GUGAGGAAUAUUGGUCAAUGGGCGAUGGCCUGAACCAGCCAAGUAGCGUGAAGGAUGACUGCCCUAUGGGUUGUAAACUUCUUUUAUAAAGGAAUAAAGUCGGGUAUGUAUACCCGUUUGCAUGUACUUUAUGAAUAAGGAUCGGCUAACUCCGUGCCAGCAGCCGCGGUAAUACGGAGGAUCCGAGCGUUAUCUGGAUUUAUUGGGUUUAAAGGGAGCGUAGAUGGAUGUUUAAGUCAGUUGUGAAUGUUUGCGGCUCAACCGUAAAAUUGCAGUUGAUACUGGAUGUCUUGAGUGCAGUUGAGGCAGGCGGAAUUCGUGGUGUAGCGGUGAAAUGCUUAGAUAUCACGAAGAACUCCGAUUGCGAAGGCAGCCUGCUAAGCUGCAACUGACAUUGAGGCUCGAAAGUGUGGGUAUCAAACAGGAUUAGAUACCCGGGUAGUCC
rnacentral:rRNA from 1 species